rnacentral:lncRNA from 1 species
GGCAUUGAUAUCCCCAGCAAGUCCAAGACAGUUGAAUCCCCACAGAGUGUUGGUGGUUCUUAUCCCCAACAAUAUCCCCAAGCGGAUCGGGUGCAAAGGAGGUUUUUCCCCAACAAGGGUUGCCUUUUCCCAACAGCAGUGCUAUUCCCCAGCAGGGUGGAGAUCGGAGUAUUGGCGAGUUCCUCAGCAGAGUAUCUUGAGCUCCCCAGAAGAGUCCCUUGAGGGGGAUGCUUUUUAUGCAUUCAUCAUAUAAAAU